UACAGAGGUCUCAAGCGUUGUUCGGAUUCAUUGGGCGUAAAGGGUGCGUAGGCGGCGCGGUAAGUCGGAUGUGAAAUCUCGGAGCUUAAUUUCGAAACUGCAUUCGAUACUGCCGUGCUUGAGGACUGGAGAGGAGACUGGAAUUUACGGUGUAGCGGUGAAAUGCGUAGAUAUCGUAAGGAAGACCAGUGGCGAAGGCGGGUCUCUGGACAGUUCCUGACGCUGAGGCACGAAGGUCAGGGGAGCAAACGGG
rnacentral:rRNA from 1 species